rnacentral:rRNA from 1 species
UUAACGAGCGAGACCUGGGCGUGCUAAAUAGGGUUCAUUAUUCUUGUAAUAGUGGUUCAACUCUUCUUAGACGGACUGUAGGCUUUUAGUCUAUGGAAGCUCCAG